rnacentral:rRNA from 1 species
UACGAAGGGGGCUAGCGUUGUUCGGAAUUACUGGGCGUAAAGCGCACGUAGGCGGAUCAAUCAGUCAGGGGUGAAAUCCCAGAGCUCAACUCUGGAACUGCCUUUGAUACUGUCGAUCUAGAGUAUGGAAGAGGUGAGUGGAAUUCCGAGUGUAGAGGUGAAAUUCGUAGAUAUUCGCAAGAACACCAGUGGCGAAGGCGGCUCACUGGCCCGGUACUGACGCUGAGGUGCGAAAGCGUGGGGAGCAAACAGG